GGCCCCCCAUGAUGGCAGCACUGGGCUCUGACCCCUCCUGAUGGAUUCCUGUGCCUCUCCCCCACUCGGGGAGGGUCUGAGGGGGCC
ensembl:snoRNA